AGUGAACGCUGGCGGUAGGCCUAACACAUGCAAGUCGAACGGCAGCACAGUAAGAGCUUGCUCUUACGGGUGGCGAGUGGCGGACGGGUGAGGAAUACAUCGGAAUCUACUUUUUCGUGGGGGAUAACGUAGGGAAACUUACGCUAAUACCGCAUACGACCUACGGGUGAAAGCAGGGGAUCUUCGGACCUUGCGCGAUUGAAUGAGCCGAUGUCGGAUUAGCUAGUUGGCGGGGUAGAGGCCCACCAAGGCGACGAUCCGUAGCUGGUCUGAGAGGAUGAUCAGCCACACUGGAACUGAGACACGGUCCAGACUCCUACGGGAGGCAGCAGCGGGGAAUAUUGGACAAUGGGCGCAAGCCUGAUCCAGCCAUACCGCGUGGGUGAAGAAGGCCUUCGGGUUGUAAAGCCCUUUUGUUGGGAAAGAAAAGCAGCAGGUUAAUACCCCGCUGUUCUGACGGUACCCAAAGAAUAAGCACCGGCUAACUUCGUG
rnacentral:rRNA from 1 species